UACUGACUUUCUAAUUGAUUUA
rnacentral:miRNA from 1 species